rnacentral:rRNA from 1 species
UUCGCAAUGCCCGAAAGGGUGACGAAGCGACGCCGCGUGCGGGAAGAAGGCCUUCGGGUUGUAAACCGCUGUCGGGAGUUAAGAAAUGUAAGGAUGUUAAUAGCAUCUUUGCUUGACUAAGGCUCCGGAGGAAGCCACGGCUAACUCUGUGCCAGCAGCCGCGGUAAUACAGAGGCGGCAAGCGUUGUUCGGAAUUAUUGGGCGUAAAGAGCGCGUAGGCGGCUAUGUAAGUCGGUUGUGAAAGCCUUCCGCUCAACGGGAGAACAGCAUCCGAUACUGCAUGGCUUGAGUGCGGGAGGGGAGAGUGGAACUUCUGGUGGAGCGGUGAAAUGCGUAGAUAUCAGAAGGAACGCCGGCGGCGAAAGCGGCUCUCUGGCCCAUAACUGACGCUGAGUGUGCGAAAGCUAGGGGAGCAAACGGGAUUAGAUACCCCGGUAGUCCUAGCCGUAAACGAUGGGCACUAAGUAGAGGGGUUUUAAUCG